rnacentral:lncRNA from 1 species
GCCCAUUACUCCUGAGCAGCUCAGGAGCACCAUUGACUUUUUAUGGCCCUCCCUCCAGGGCACAGGGGGAACAUCCAAAUGAAAGAAAUGUUUACUGAGCACCUACUAAGUAUGAGGAUCCAUUUUUGGACCAGUCAUCGUUCCUGCUUCCAAACGGAGAGACAGGGAAUUAUUAAGCCUGAUUAUCUCCAAAGCACCUGCCAGCUUGGACAUUCUAUGAAACAAGUGAGAUCACGAAAGAUGUGAAACAUGUUAGAGUGAAGGUUUGCAUACGGGAUAGAGCAAGGGUCACAGAACACUCUGCUGCGGAGGUAAGCUGCGACCGUCUAGCCUUCUGGGAGUGUGCGAAGCCCCUCAACCACAAGGAUCCAGACUGGGAGCAAGAUGUUGUGUCUGAACACCCUCAGGACAGAGAACCAGAAUCUCUGCUGAGUUCCUGUCACCACCCCCGCCCCCUGCUUUUACCUGUGUCACCCAAACUCUCUGGGGAUGGCAACACCUACCUCACAUAUUACUGUGAUGAUUAAAUGUGAAAACACAUAUGAAAGGUCUUUGUAAACUCUGAAGUGCUUUAUACAUGGAAAAUAGAAUUAAUAUUCAUGAAAGAGGAAGAAAUAGAAGGGUACCUUAAAGGAUAGAUAGGCACUACCUAAGUGGGUGUCAGACACUAAAGUACAUACUUCAUAAAAAUCAAUCAUUUAGUCCUCCUGACAUGAGAUAGGAGUUAUUAUUUUUCCCAUUCUACA